ACUUAUUCUCAAUCUAUAAUUAAAUUGCAAAUAAUCUCCAUUCUCCACGCGACCGUUCAAUAUAAAAGCAUCUAGUCCCAGAGACUACGUUAUUAUAGUUCAAAUACUUUCACUCACUUGAAGAAGGAGACCAAGUUUAAAGACAUGAAGAAUAUUAUUAUGGUAUCCGCUUUGGUGAUGACGAUGGUUCUUAUCGUCCACCUUGGUAACGUCGAAGCAGGAGGGUUCAGUUUAGGAUGCACAAUUUCGUGCGGAAUAUGGAAUGCGUGUCGAGGAAAAUCUGCCCUUUCCGGAAGUCUGGAGCAGUGUGGACCCGAGCCUUCGGGAUGUCGCUGUACAUCGUUUUACUGGGAAUAAGUUCCAGUUUUUGAACCAGUUGCCCUAAUAAUUUAUUAUUGAAUGUUUUAUUUAUUUUUUUCGCCAAAAUACUGUGAUUCUUGAGAAUAUUUUGUAAUAAACUGAAGAGAUGAAUGGAG